UCUGCGGAUCUUUGUCCCCCAUCAGCCUGAACGAUGCACCCGCUCUGCCGGAAGGGCGUGAGGCUCUGCCAAAGCCUAACAAACGAAAUAGUCCAAAAAAGCUCGCGAAAACCGUAGGGCGACAAGGGACGUUGUUGAGGGCGGAAAAUGUGUCUGCUUCGAAGAGUACAUCGGCGGGCUAUUCCGAGUCGGCAAGGGCACGGAUCCAGACCUCAGAGGACAUUUGCAGAAGUGGCGUUCGCCGGCCUCGUAGCUGGGAUCAGAAAGUCGCGACCUCCCCCUGCAGUGGAGCAACUGCCUGUUCCCCACCUAUGUUUCAGACGCAGACUGGAAGCGGGAGACGAUCUCCCCCAAGCUCUGCGGCAGGACGGCGACGUCCAAUACUGACGGAUCCUCUCUGUACCCUUCCCCCUUCCCAAGCUUCUGGGAACCAACUUCCUGGAUCUUGGACCAGGAAGCCUCCG
rnacentral:lncRNA from 1 species